UUUUUUUUUUUUUUUUUUUUGUGUACACUCAUUCUGUAAUACAUGUUUUGCUCUCUUUUGACACUACUUGGAUUUAUAUGAUUAUCUUCACAAAUUAAAGAAAUUAGGGAUCAAUUUAUUAUUUAGUACUCAUAUAAGUACCAUCACAGUAUUCCUGAGAGAUCCGGCAUAAUAUGUCACUACAAUUAAAUCUUUUCAAUCGCAAUUCAAUACCUAAAAUGUAACUCUGUUAUCCACCCAUUAAGUACUUAAAUCUAGAAUUUCUCAAACUGUAAUCACACUUGCUAUCUGUCCCUUGUUUCAGGUUCUGUAAUGCUUCACAAUGUUCUCACAAAGGAUGAGGUACUUUGGCUAAGGAAAGGGAGAAGAUGAAUAUGCUAUUGCAAAGAUAAAUUUUUCUACGAAUACCCAGGAUCUUAAAAAACUUUAUAUACUUUAACCCAGUUGAGAACAAUCGAUACCAAGGAAAUUUGAGAAUAAUUAAGCACGCAAGAAAGUAUAAUGAGCUAACCAUGCAGUAGAUGUUAAAAAAGAUGGAAAGCUCCUUAUUGCUUGAUUCAAGAAUAGGCAAAGAUUGGAAAUUCAAAAGUCUAUGAUUUGUGACUAAUAUGACCUUGAAGAUGCAGUAAGCUUAUUUCAGAAAAGAAAACAAAGAAAAGACUGAACCGCCACAAUAUAACUUAAACAAAUAUAAACAUUUAACUCAACUAUAGCUAGAAAAGACUGAUAAGAUCCCAAAUAUGCCUUGUAUUGAAUCUAAGACCUUUUAAAAAAAAUAAAAACAGUUAUCUGACAAGGCAAAAAGAAAUAACAUUAAAGGGCAGCUAGGAGUUGCCAAACUGUAUGAAGUAAAAAAAAUCACUUGCAAGACCAAAAGUCAAAGGAGUGCAAAAAAGCUUGUAUAUCGAAACAUUGCUCGCUCAACUCAACUAUAGCCUUAAGCCCACACUAACCGAGUUCAGCUAUGUGAAUCCAUUUCCUUCCAGUUAGUUUUGGGCUGCAUCUUCAAAAACAUCUCAGAAUGCUACAUCAUUUCUUACUACUUCCUCCCACAUCUUAGACCUACCCCUUGUUUUCUUUUCACCAACAACUUCAAUGUGUUCAACCUUCCAUACUUGUGCAUUUAUUGGUCUAUGAUGCACAUAUCUAAACUAUCUCAAUUUGCCUUUUCUCAACUUUUCCUCAACUAGUGUCAUUUCUACUUUCCUACUAAUGAAUUUAUAUUUAUUCCUUAUAAGUCUAUCCUCCAUGUUGGAAUUGAUGAGAUUUUUUCUUA
rnacentral:misc_RNA from 1 species